UUCCGCAUUCAAUCUGUCACAUGCAGAAUGCACCAGAAUCCCAUCUGAGUACACACAAUAAGCACUUCCGAUAUAAAUGCCAUCCUUGGAGCUGUCCAUAAAUACUUCGAUUCCGGACUGGGUUGGAAAACCAGGCUCCCAUGCCAAACCAAUAUGGAGGGAUGGAUGCACUCGCCAUAUGUCCUCUUCUUUAUCUUCCAGUGUAAUGGCUGGAAACCUUCUCAAACAGUGCGAGGUGUCCUCUUUAACCAUCGACAUGCGGAAGAAGGCAGUCUCCUGACCCACUACCAGCGGCAGUGGCACCAGACCGGCCAAAACUAGCGCAGCCUGGGUAGCCAGGGUUCUAUUUGCC
rnacentral:lncRNA from 1 species